AUUGAACGCUGGCGGCAGGCUUAACACAUGCAAGUCGAACGAGUGGCGGACGGGUGAGUAAUGCUUGGGAAACUAGCUUAUGGAGGGGGAUAACUACGGGAAACGGUAGCUAAUACCGCGUACCAUCGGAUGAGCCGAUGUGGGAUUAGCUAUGUGGUGGGGUAAUGGCUCACCAAGGCGACGAUCUCUAGCUGGUUUGAGAGGAUGAACAGCAAAACUGGGACGGAGAAACGGCCCAGACUCCUACGGGAGGCAGCAGUGGGGAAUAUGGGACAAGUGGCGAAAGCCUUAACCAGCAAUACCGGGUGUGGGAAGAAGGCCCUAGGGUUGUAAAGCACUUGUGUUAGGGAGAUGUUACCUAAAGAAUAAGCACCGGCUAACUCCGUGCCAGCAGCCGCGGUAAUAC
rnacentral:rRNA from 1 species